UGCGUAGGCGGGUUGGCAGGUCGGAUGUGAAAACCCCACGGCUUAACCGGGGGCCUGCAUUCGAAACCGCCAAUCUUGAGUACGGGAGAGGAAAGCGGAAUUCCUGGUGUAGCGGUGAAAUGCGUAGAUAUCAGGAAGAACACCGGUGGCGAAGGCGGCUUUCUGGCCCGAUACUGACGCUCAGGCACGAAGGCUAGGGGAGCAAACA
rnacentral:rRNA from 1 species